GGAACACAGGUAUGUAGAUUUAUUAAAGCUCCUUCUGCUUCUUCUUUUUUUUAUUUUUUUCAACAAUUUUUAAAAUUUCUGUACCUAUUUACUUCAUUCCCGGGCAACCAUUAAUUGUGCGUUCAUUUUGUGUGUUUUCUUGCAAGCAUGCCAAAAUUUAAAUUGAUAUCAGUCACAUGAUGUCUGUUUGCUAUUGAUCCUACAUUCUUUGUAUCUGUGGCUAGAUUAUGUUAAUGCACAGUUCCCCUAGUUAAUCUGUUCUUGUAGUUAUGGCAUGUUCUGGUGAACUCUAAAAUCAUUGAAUGGCAGUUGUUUAUGUCAAUACUUGUUCUUUGUUACGUUCCUUGAACCUAAAUGCACAUAUGUCAAUGCAUGCUGGGGAAAUUUCUGUGCUUUUUAACGCUAUAUGUUUAUUAUUUUUCUUUAAAAUACUUUUGAGAUAUGCUAAAUCAUGAAUAGAAAUUUGCUCUCACCAAUUUCUGGUGCUAAUUAAUCUCUCAUCAAACAAUACUGAGAAAAAAAGAACUUUGCAAAUGUGAGGAUUAGCAAUUUCAGGCACACUGAAGCAAUUAAAGCAUAAUUUAUUAGAGUGAGAAAAGAAUCAUCAAAUUAGCUUCAGAAAUGUUGAAAUAAAUGUACAGAAAGUUACCUUUAUAUGAUUGGACUGAAUCAAAAGUAAAGUUACCUUUGAUAUUAUUAGACCAAACCUUCUGUCAGGCUAUUGUUUAUUCACUUGUUCAAUACAAGUCAUAGAGCAUGGUGACAGAAGUGCAUACUCUUUGUAGGCUGACAUUUUGUGGUUGAAACUGUAGUCUCAAUGCAUCACAUCUGGGAAAAUAUCUGCAUAAUAGCUUGGAUUUGCCUUCUCAUGUGCUCUAGGCAUAUAUUGAAAAUUUAGCGUCUUCUCUUUCAGAAAAUACUAUUUUAACAGAGUUUUUUAGAUCAAGAUCCUCUUCCUUUUUGGUGUCUAUUCGGAUCUUCAUCUUAGCCUGCUUCUUUGAGAACUUCAAUCCAGCUUAUUUAGAGAAAAAACAAUGUAUUUUUUUGCAGGUUCUGUUGUCCAGAUUAACC
rnacentral:misc_RNA from 1 species